rnacentral:rRNA from 1 species
GAUCCUGGCUCAGAACGAACGCUGGCGGCAUGGAUUAGGCAUGCAAGUCGAACGGACGUAGCAAUACGUUAGUGGCGAAAGGGUGAGGAACGCGUGAGUAACCUGCCCCCAAGUUGGGAAUAACAGCUGGAAACGGCUGCUAAUACCUGAUGUGGUAGUAAAGUGGCAUCACAUUACUACUAAAGAUUUAUCGCUUGGGGAUGGGCUCGCGUCCCAUUAGCUAGUUGGUGAGGUAACGGCUCACCAAGG